rnacentral:rRNA from 1 species
ACUUUCAACAACGGAUCUCUUGGUUCUGGCAUCGAUGAAGAACGCAGCGAAAUGCGAUAAGUAAUGUGAAUUGCAGAAUUCAGUGAAUCAUCGAAUCUUUGAACGCACAUUGCGCCCCUUGGUAUUCCGAGGGGCAUGCCUGUUCGAGCGUCAUUUCACCAAUCAAGCCCCGC